CAAUAGCGUAUAUUUAAGUUGUUGCAGUUAAAAAGCUCGUAGUUGGAUUUCGGAUGGGAUCUGCCGGUCCGUCCUUGAGAUGUGUACUGGUAGGUCCUAUCUUGUUGUCGGGGACCAGCUCCUGGGCUUCACUGUCCGGGACUGGGAGCCGACGAAGUUACUUUGAGUAAAUUAGAGUGUUCAAAGCAAGCCUACGCUCUGAAUAUAUUAGCAUGGAAUAACACGAUAGGACUCUGGCUUAUCUUGUUGGUCUGUGAGACCAGAGUAAUGAUUAAGAGGGACAGUCGGGGACAUUCGUAUUUCAUUGUCAGAGGUGAAAUUCUUGGAUUUAUGAAAGACGAACUUCUGCGAAAGCAUUUGUCAAGGAUGUUUUCAUUAA
rnacentral:rRNA from 1 species